rnacentral:piRNA from 1 species
UGGAUAGUCUCACAUCACAAGGGAAGCC